rnacentral:rRNA from 1 species
CCUUGCCAGCCCGCUCAGAAACUCAAAUGAAUUGACGGGGGCCCGCACAAGCGGUGGAGCAUGUGGUUUAAUUCGAUGAUACGCGAGGAACCUUACCAGGGCUUGACAUACACUGGAAUGGGCGUGAAAGCGUCCAGCCCCUCGGGGCCGGUGUACAGGUGCUGCAUGGCUGUCGUCAGCUCGUGCUGUGAAGUGUUGGGUUAAGUCCCGCAACGAGCGCAACCCUUGCCUUUAGUUGCCAGCAGUUCGGCUGGGCACUCUAAAGGGACUGCCGGUGUUAAACCGGAGGAAGGUGGGGAUGACGUCAAGUCCUCAUGGCCUUUAUGACCAGGGCUACACACGUACUACAAUGGCCGAUACAAAGGGCAGCGACACUGCGAGGUGAAGCCAAUCCCGUAAAAUCGGUCUCAGUCCGGAUUGGAGUCUGCAACUCGACUCCAUGAAGUUGGAAUCGCUAGUAAUCGUGGAUCAGCAUGCCACGGUGAAUACGUUCCCGGGCCUU